ACUCCUACGGGAGGCAGCAGUGAGGAAUAUUGGUCAAUGGGCGAAAGCCUGAACCAGCCAUGCCGCGUGCAGGAUGACUGCCCUAUGGGUUGUAAACUGCUUUUAUACAGGAAUAAACCCCCGGACGUGUCCGGGGCUGAAGGUACUGUAAGAAUAAGGAUCGGCUAACUCCGUGCCAGCAGCCGCGGUAAUACGGAGGAUCCAAGCGUUAUCCGGAUUCAUUGGGUUUAAAGGGUCCGCAGGCGGGGUAUUAAGUCAGUGGUGAAAGCCGGCAGCUUAACUGUCGAAUUGCCAUUGAUACUGGUACUCUUGAGUGUAGUUGAAGUAGGCGGAAUAAGUCAUGUAGCGGUGAAAUGCAUAGAUAUGACUUAGAACACCGAUUGCGAAGGCAGCUUACUAAGCUAUUACUGACGCUCAUGGACGAAAGCGUGGGGAGCGAACAGGAUUAGAUACCCUGGUAGGAUAG
rnacentral:rRNA from 1 species